rnacentral:sRNA from 1 species
AGAAUGGAGAACUGGGAUUGCAGCCAGAACAUACCCACUUGACAUCUUCUUCUUCUUCUUCUUCUUCUUCUUCUUCUCA